UUAACUAUUGUAUAGUACUCAGACGACACUAACAUUCAGAGUUUAUAGGGCCUUCGGCGGGCCUGGCGGCCCGCCAAAGCAACGACGGUAACGAUAACAGUGGGUGGGAGAUCUACCCGUUAGGGCAUGAACUCUGUAAUGAUCCUUCCGCAGGUUCACCUACGGAAA
rnacentral:misc_RNA from 1 species